UUCAGUACUCGAGAUCAGCCUGCAUCACGUGAGAGGCUUCUUUUCCUUUUUCUGACGAGUAUUGCGGAAUGCUGCAGCACUCCUUACUCUCUUUUGGGUUUGGUCUUCACGGUUUCUUUUGUUGCCUUGGGUGUUCUCACACUCUGCAAGUUUUACUUGCAGGGUUAUCGAGCUUUCAUGAAUGAUCCUGCCAUGAAUCGGGGCAUGACAGAAGGAGUAACGCUGUUAAUCCUGGCAGUGCAGACUGGGCUGAUAGAACUGCAGGAGCUUGUGGAAACACUUCCGUGCUGUAAGCCUUUGUUUAUUUUUAUUGGUAUUCCCUGCUUAUAUGGCUUAUAUGAUUUGCCAGUUUUUCCACAUGGAUUUUUGGCUUCUUAUCAUUAUUUCCAGCAGCAUUCUUACCUCUCUUCAGGUUCUGGGAACACUUUUUAUUUAUGUCUUAUUUAUGGUUGAGGAAUUCAGAAAAGAGCCAGUGGAAAACAUGGAUGAUGUCAUCUACUAUGUGAAUGGCACUUACCGCCUGCUGGAAUUUCUUGUGGCCCUCUGUGUGG
rnacentral:sRNA from 1 species